rnacentral:rRNA from 1 species
UACGUAGGGUGCAAGCAUUAAUCGGAUUUAUUGGGCGUAAAGGGCGCGUAGGCGGAUUUGUAAGUCAGAUGUGAAAUUCUGGGGCUCAACCUCAGCACUGCAUUUGAGACUGUGAAUCUAGAGGAUAGGCGGAGAAAUUGGAAUUCCACAUGUAGCGGUGAAAUGCGUAGAUAUGUGGAAGAACACCGGUGGCGAAAGCGGAUUUCUAGCUUAUUCCUGACGCUGAGGCGCGAGAGCAAGGGGAGCAAACAGG